rnacentral:lncRNA from 1 species
AAAUUUUGGGGUGGCCCUUCUCUGGAGGAAAAUGGGUCAUCCGAAGCAAAAGAUGAUCCACUUCCUCCAAAGCCUGAUAGGGGCAUUGAUUGAACAGUUGAUAUAGCAGUGGCCGUCAAAGGACUUAUUCUACGAGAUGUUCGGUAUGUAACACCAAGGAGAGCACCACCAUGCAAGCCAACAACCUGCAAGAACACGCAACCAUGCAAACAUCCAAAUUAGCAUUUGCAUACCACCUUAUGUUUCAGCAACGAUGUAUGCAAGACAACUACAACACGGUAUUAAAGCACAUAUAUUUUCUAAACAACGGCAACGCCGACAGAUUUUUAAAAUAAGUAAUCAGUACAAUUAACCAAGCAUAAUAUAAUCAGAAAAUAAUCUAUAUUGUGAUUUGUCUGGUAAAGAUCAAUAACAUUAACUGGACUAAAAACAUUUGAGCCCAGAAAAGAGAAAAUGAACCUUUUUAUAUCAAAUAAUUGCAAAAUUAUAGCUCUAUUACACCCAGAAAAAUAUUACUGCAUCCUGUCAAAAUCUGGCCAAAUAUUUGUUUCAACAAUGUUUGAAUGUAACUAAGCUACUUUGGGUGGAAAUUUUCCACCAUGUGACAGGCAUGUUACGAUGGUUUUCUAUAAGGGACGCCGAUGAUCUUUGCAUUUUCAUCAAGAAAUAACCACAAAAGUAAACAAAUAUAAUCACUGUCUUCCCAUCAAACUGGUGUAUUGAAAGGAAAGAUUCUCCAUUAAGUUCAUAAAUAAUAUAUCAUAAAUGAAAAUUACCAACCGGUUCACUACGACCAUCAAUGGAUCUCUGCAGA